rnacentral:lncRNA from 1 species
UGUUUGUGUAGUUAACAGGUAAUACUCUUUUCUCAUUUUUAUAUGGAUUAGACCGUUGGUUUACCUGUUUGAAUUGUUUAAGGGCUCUUUAUAUAUCACUAUUUAUAACGGAUAUAACAUAUCUAGGACCAGUAUUUAAAUAAUUCAAGAAAAUCCUUCGUACUACCAAAAUCUGUAUAAAUGUACUGUUUUAACUGUAUUUCUGC